AUUGAACGCUGGCGGCAUGCCUUACACAUGCAAGUCGAACGGCAGCACGGGAGCAAUCCUGGUGGCGAGUGGCGAACGGGUGAGUAAUAUAUCGGAACGUGCCCAGUCGUGGGGGAUAACGUAGCGAAAGCUACGCUAAUACCGCAUACGAUCUAUGGAUGAAAGCGGGGGAUCGCAAGACCUCGCGCGAUUGGAGCGGCCGAUAUCAGAUUAGGUAGUUGGUGAGGUAAAGGCUCACCAAGCCGACGAUCUGUAGCUGGUCUGAGAGGACGACCAGCCACACUGGGACUGAGACACGGCCCAGACUCCUACGGGAGGCAGCAGUGGGGAAUUUUGGACAAUGGGCGAAAGCCUGAUCCAGCAAUGCCGCGUGCAGGAAGAAGGCCUUCGGGUUGU
rnacentral:rRNA from 1 species